ensembl:lncRNA
UUUUAGUCCAGAUGUCAUGGCCCCAAGGACUAGAAAUUUGGGCUCAUAACACUGGAUAUGCAUAUUUAUUACCUAUGUACUGCAUAAAUAAUAAUUUACGGUGCUCAGUGGAGCAAAUUGAGAACUCAUUUCCUGCUCACUACUUAAAUACCCAUCUGGUGCCUUAGUUUGCCUAUCUAUCUCCUCAUUUUAGGUAUUGAUAUCACUCUUUUUUGAUCAUCUGUGCCAGGAGCUACGGAUAGUGCACAUGAGACUGUUCCUAAUCACAAUCCACCUCUCCUCUAGCAGAACAGCAUUCACAUCACCCAGUUCUGGGCACUUCCCAGCACCACUUGUUUGGACCAGCUGUGGCUGUACAGUGAUUUCUUGGAUUAUUUUUCACUCACAGCUGAAGAGGAAAAGUUUUUACAUCAACAAUCUGCUCCCUGAGGCCUGAGGGCUCCACACUCACAGCAGACAACAAGAUGGAGAAGACAACAGCAGAACAGCAACAUCCCACAAGGAUGGUGAACCACCAGACAUGUAGUUGCCAGUGGAACAGCAGCUUAAUUGAAGGUGUACUAGGAUGUACCAGCCUACCUGGGACUGAGGGACCAGAAAAAUGAAGCAAGGGAGCACACUCAUCUGCAUUUCCAUCAAGUUUCUGGAAUCCCCUUAGCCCAAGACAGAAGGACACAGGGCUCUCCCAGACCUUGGAUCACAUAGCCUCUCUCAUUUCUUCAGCCUAAGUCUCUGCACAAGAGCAAAUUUUAUAAUUUUGUUGUCAGCAAAAUUAUAAGUAACCGUGCUGAUGCGUGUAAGAGAUGGAAAGGGGAAGCACUGUUUUGUGAGGGGGAGGCUAAGGAAAAAGGUGACGUGUGGUGGGAGGAUGAGCAGUGAGAAAUGGAGAAAUGAAAAAUAGAAAGUUUUCGUUAGAGCUAUGACAAAUAUGGGCUCAGCUAAGUGUAAUGGAACAAGACAGCAGAGUGGGUAGAGACAAUUUUGUGGUCUUCUGGGAGAGGAAGUAGUGACAAAUAUGUGAAGAUAGUAAAAUAACCUACGUCCUGACAGCCCCAAAAGUAAAGCUCUGGGGGUUUAUGCUCUGGGGGUUAUGCUGAGGGCAUUUGAUGAUGCUACUGGUCCAAGCUGCCUACACAGUCCCACGGUGCCAGAUUACUACUCCAGUACUGUCUCAUCAGAAAUGGAGAUGUGCCCACACUGUAGGCACCAGAUUGAUAUAUUGACAUAAGCUGGUGACUGUGGCUCAUUCGGUUCACUAGGAAGAGGACUGUGUGACCAAGGAUUCUUGUUUUUAUCCCUGUCAGAUUUAGUGCAGUUGGUCAAUAGCUGAGGUCCUGAAUAUCUUGAGACAUCUACCCUAAGCAAACAAGUGCCAGGGUUACCAAGAGAGCACUAGAAGAGUCUGGACACUAUUUUAGCCAGUUUACUUGUAUUUAGGCCUCCUUUCCGUUACUUGUACAAGCUUAUCUGUCACUCUAGCUUGCAGAAGUUACUGGAGAAGAAUCUAGUGUUCAAGAAGAGCCGUCAGGAGUCGGAGGUUGGCCCUGCUGUGAUAUUCUGGAGCAAGUGCUGCCGGACUCAGGGUCUAAAACUGGGUCCAGGGCCAUUGGCAGGUUCAGGGGAGCCCAUGGGAGUAUGCAGGGACACUGUGGCUGGUGAUGCUCUCAGGAACAUGACAAUCCUUGUGCCUCCCUCCCAACUCAGGAUAUUCCAUGGUUCUGUGGUUCUCUGGCAUUGAUCAAGGUUGGCAUUUUUCGUCAUCUCUGCUUGCAUUAAGGAAUUAUAGAGAAAAACCUGCUCCAGCAAACAGGUGAGUAGCAAAACAAAGCUGAAUCCAUUCUCAGCAAAACUCAUGACUGCUUCCUUGCUGAGUGCAAAUUCCCACUAAGAAGACAAAAAGAUGCCAACUCAGUGUGAUGCCAGCUUUGCAUCUGGAGAUUUGCUUUAGCUCUGACUACAUCUACCUCAGCAUGUGGUAGGACAAGCUGCUACUAAAUGGCAAGUGGUCCCAUGAGAGUGAUGACUAAUGGCUCCUGCUUAGCUAGAUAAUCAACCAUUUAAUAAAAGGUGAGCUUCUAUAUCUUUCCUUCCA